CUCCAGAAGUGGCCGUGCCAACCCGCAAGGGGGCAGGUCCCAAGGAGUGCUCGGUAACUGGGGUG
rnacentral:rRNA from 1 species